GGAGAUAUAGCUCAGUGAUAGAGCACCUGUUUUGCUUACAGAAGGCAUUGUGUUCAAUCCCUGGCAUUUCCA